GCCUGGCUGGCUCAGUUGGUAGAGCACAUGACUCUUGAUCUUGGGGUUGUGAGUCCGAGCCCCAUGUUGGGUG
rfam:Ailuropoda melanoleuca scaffold456_64, whole genome shotgun sequence.